UCUGACCUGCCCACUGAAAAUUUUAAAUGGCUGCAGUAAUUUGACUGUACAAAGGUAGCAUAAUCAUUAGUUUUUUAAUUAAAAGCUUGUAUGAAAGGUUGGACGAAGUAAAAUCUGUCUCUUUUUAAUAUAAUUAGAAUUUAAUUUUUAAGUAAAAAAGCUUAAAUUUUUAUAAAAGACGAGAAGACCCUAUAGAGUUUAAUAAUUUUAAUAAAAUAUUUAAUUAAGAUUUAUUAAUUUUAUUUAAUUAAAAUUAUUUUAUUGGGGUAAUAAAAAGAUUAAAAAAAUUCUUUUUUUUUAAUACAUUAAUUUAUGAAUAUAUGAUCCAUUUGUAGUGAUUAAAAGAUUAAAUUACCUUAGGGAUAACAGCGUAAUUUUUUUAAAGAGUUCUUAUCGAUAAAAAAGUUUGCGACCUCGAUGUUGGAUUAAAGAUUAAUUUAGGUGUAGAAGUUUAAAUUUUUGGUCUGUUCGACCAUUAAAUCUUUACAUGAUCUGAGUUCAAACCGGUGUAAGCCAGGUUGGUUUCUAUCUUUAUUAAUUUUUUAUAUUUUAGUACGAAAGGACCAAAUAUAAAAUAUAUAAAUAUUUUUAUUUUGAAUAUUAUUAAAUUAGUUAUUUUGGCAGAUUAGUGUAAUGAAUUUAGAAUUCAUUUAUGUAAAUAUUUUACAAAUAAUACUUGUUUAUAAAAGAUAUAAUUAUUUCUUUUAUUUUAAUUAUUUUAUUAAUUAUUUGUGUUUUAGUAGGUGUAGCUUUUUUAACUUUAUUAGAA
rnacentral:rRNA from 1 species